GUGGGGAAUCUUGCGCAAUGGGCGAAAGCCUGACGCAGCCAUGCCGCGUGAAUGAUGAAGGUCUUAGGAUUGUAAUAUUCUUUCACCGGGGACGAUAAUGACGGUAUCCGGAGAAGAAGCCCCGGCUAACUUCGUGCCAGCAGCCGCGGUAAUACGAAGGGGGCUAGCGUUGCUCGGAAUUACUGGGCGUAAAGGGCGCGUAGGCGGAUCGUUAAGUCAGGGGUGAAAUCCCAGAGCUCAACUCUGGAACUGCCCUUGAUACUGGCGAUCUUGAGUAUGAGAGAGGUAUGUGGAACUCCGAGUGUAGAGGUGAAAUUCGUAGAUAUUCGGAAGAACACCAGUGGCGAAGGCGACAUACUGGCUCAUUACUGACGCUGAGGCGCGAAAGCGUGGGGAGCAAACAGGAUUAGAUACCCUGGUAGUCC
rnacentral:rRNA from 1 species